rfam:Drosophila ananassae strain TSC#14024-0371.13 Ctg01_18398, whole genome shotgun sequence.
ACUUAACCAAAGCCUGGCUUCAAAAUUAAGCUUGCUGCCGCAGCAUAACAUCUAAAACGGCAUAAAAUUCGCAAAGGAUAAGGAGGAGGUUUUAGUACGUAGGCGUCUCAGGACUUGUCUCGGGAUGAAUCGUUCCUGCUUAUCAAUGGGAUUAGAUUACAAACCGCCAAU